ACUCUGUGUUUACUGGAUGCUGUUGUUCACAUGCCCAGUGGAUAGAAGGGGUCAGAGCAAUUCUGUAAUUUAUGCAUGGCUACUGCCUUCUCAGCAGUCUCCAUAGCCUGGUCACUGAUACAUGG